rnacentral:rRNA from 1 species
CUCGUAGGCGGUUUGUCGCGUCUGCCGUGAAAGUCCGGGGCUCAACUCCGGAUCUGCGGUGGGUACGGGCAGACUAGAGUGAUGUAGGGGAGACUGGAAUUCCUGGUGUAGCGGUGAAAUGCGCAGAUAUCAGGAGGAACACCGAUGGCGAAGGCAGGUCUCUGGGCAUUAACUGACGCUGAGGAGCGAAAGCGAUGGGGAGCGAACA